GACUGAGCUGUGCUGGUGCGAGCUGAGCUGUGACGGUGCGGCGGGCCGGUACCGGUACCAGUACCAGAACCAGGCUGAGUUCGCGGUGGUCUGUGUGUGCCGGGAGACGCCGAGAUGUCUCAGAGUCACAGCGGUACACGAGGAGGGAGCUUCGUUUUACUGCUCCUCGUAGCUGCUGCUCUCCGGUUCUGACAGGAAUUCGUUAUUUUAUUUAUUUUUGUUUGUUUUCUUUCUGAGGUAAAAUCCACAGGAGGCACGGAGCGAGUGGCCUAGCAGGGUCCGCAGCCCCCAGCUCUCUUGUCACCAGCUUCUCUCUUCCAUUAAUAACCUUCACAGGAGAUUUAUUCUCACCCAGGAAUCCUUUUUAGCUUUUAAGCUGGCUCCUUCAAGGCAGAAUUAUGCCCCACUAGCAAGGGAUCUGGGGAGAGAACUGCGAUUCUUUUGUUUCACUGAACAAAAACUGAUUCAUCACUUUCCUUACAUCACCUCUCAGCUCUCUAGCUUCUCAACACAGAGAUUGGUAUGGCUUUCCCUUAGGUAAGUUGCAAAUCACAGCAGCUGUGUAUUUGCUGGGAGUCAGCACUCAGUGUUAUUAAAGUGGUAUAAAUGUAUGUAAUCAUACGAGAUGUAAUUAUCAGAGAUACUGCAGAAGUAGUUUCCUGAAGAGAGUGAAAUAAAUAUGAAAUUGGGAUAUUGGAACAAGCUGAAUUGCGAGAACGAGCUGUGAAAAGCUGUGAGAAUGACUGGAAAAAAUAAAAGUCAAUAUGAAGCUGAGAGAUGGGGAGAGACUUACGAAAUAGGGUUAUAGACAAUGAAAAGAAGUUCUGAUGUGGGGCUAAGCAGUAAGAUCAGCUGAAUCAGGCAGAUACAUUUGCUAUGUCUGUGCUGGGACUCUGUAAUUCUACUGUUUCCUCUGACUAAGUAUGAGUUUCUGCAAGAAUUACAGUUGAUUUGUUUUUUUUUAUUCAGUGAAUGGGCUAAGAUAUCAAGAAGAGAACACCAGCUUUGGGGGCUGGCUGCCAUCAGUGUGUUGAGGCGAACGCGCAAGGCACAAAAUCAGGUUCCACAGUCAGUCUGAAUUUUUUUGCAUGUAACUGUUGUGUGAGUGCAUUUCACAGUGUGACCUACUGCGUUGUUUUAACAUAUGUAUGCGUGAAUAUUUUGUGAAACAAUUUACUAUGAGAGAAGCUUCAAAUAAAACUGCCCAUUUUAUUGUCUCCCA